rnacentral:rRNA from 1 species
UUGAAAGGGAAACGAUUGAAGUCAGUCGUACCGAUGGGCAUUCAGCCUCAUGAGUGCGAUUAUGUCGGGUGUUGGGGAGCUUAACCGUCCUCGCGCUUGCGUAUUUGUGCUCUACGGGUGUACUUGUCCGUAUGGUAGGUUGACAUCAAUUAUGGUCGUCAUAAAAUGACGGGAGGAAUGUGGCUUCGACCUCGUGUUGAAGUGUUAUAGCCUCGGGUAGAUGUGGUGACCGGGAUUGAGGAUUGCAACGAACCCUUCGGGGCCUCCUGUCUGGCCUCUGGUGGUCUCUCUGGUGCUGAAAGCGUGCUUACGGUCAUCGGAGUUGGCUGCCAAAAGGUUAGAACGGGUUGAUUUCGUUAAGGAUGUUGACGUA